rnacentral:rRNA from 1 species
UGGGGAAUCUUGCACAAUGGGCGAAAGCCUGAUGCAGCAACGCCGCGUGCGGGAAGAAGGCCCUAGGGUUGUAAACCGCUUUCAGCAGGGAAGAAGAUGACGGUACCUGUAGAAGAAGGUGCGGCCAACUACGUGCCAGCAGCCGCGGUGACACGUAGGCACCAAGCGUUGUCCGGAUUUAUUGGGCGUAAAGAGCUCGUGGGCGGUUCGGUAAGUCGGGUGUGAAAACUCUGGGCUCAACCCAGAGCCGCCACCCGAUACUGCUGUGACUUGAGUUCGGUAGGGGAGCGGGGAAUUCCUGGUGUAGCGGUGAAAUGCGCAGAUAUCAGGAGGAACACCAGUGGCGAAGGCGCCGCUCUGGGCCGAGACUGACGCUGAGGAGCGAAAGCGUGGGUAGCAAACAGGAUUAGAUACCCUGGUAGUCCACGCCGUAAACGUUGGGCACUAGGUGUGGGUCUCAACCAACGAGAUCCGCGCCGUCGCUAACGCAUUAAGUCG